CAGUCGCCGCGGGAAUACGAAGGGUGCAAGCGUUACUCGGAAUUACUGGGCGUAAAGCGUGCGUAGGUGGUGGUUUAAGUCCGUUGUGAAAGCCCUGGGCUCAACCUGGGAAUUGCAGUGGAUACUGGGUCACUAGAGUGUGGUAGAGGAUAGUGGAAUUUCCGGUGUAGCAGUGAAAUGCGUAGAGAUCGGAAGGAACAUCUGUGGCGAAGGCGGCAACCUGGCUCAUUACUGACGCUGAGGCGCGAAAGCGUGGGGAGCAAACAGGAUUAGAUACCCGCGUAGUCCCUGUCUCUUAUAC
rnacentral:rRNA from 1 species